rnacentral:rRNA from 1 species
UACGUAGGGGGCGAGCGUUGUCCGGAUUUAUUGGGCGUAAAGAGCGUGUAGGCGGCCAGGUAGGUCUGCUGUGAAAACUCGAGGCUCAACCUCGAGACGUCGGCGGAAACCAUCUGGCUAGAGUCCGGAAGAGGAGAGUGGAAUUCCUGGUGUAGCGGUGAAAUGCGCAGAUAUCAGGAAGAACACCCGUGGCGAAGGCGGCUCUCUGGGUCCCUACCGACGCUGGGGUGCGAAAGCAUGGGGAGCGAACAGG